CUCUUCCUCUGUUUCUACCUUUCUUGAGACCCAGAGAGACUUUGAGGAACCUCCGAGGUAGCUAGGUAUUCUUUCCAUUAACUCUCUCUUUUGCUUAAGUUUUUGUCUUUUUGUUUUCUUUUUGCAGAGUUUCUGUUAUCUACAACAGAAGAGUUUUCACUAAGAUAAUAUUCUUAGGGCCAACAGGAAGGGAGUGGACCUGUCCUUAUCUGAGCUUAAAGUGCCCCAUACAGGUGUCUCUUCCAUCAUGCCAUAAAAGUGCCAUAAGGUAGAAAGUUGCCUUACAUUGAGUGGGACUACUGGGUUAGGCUUGUGAUAUGCAGUGUUAAAUGGCUUUAAAAAACAGAUUCCAUCAUUAAAAAAAGGUACACAGCCUUUGGUUUCAUUAAAAGUCAAAGGUCUAAAAUUAGAGGUUAAUCAUGGCACCUCACUUCUCUGUAUUAUUCUUAUAACUCACGGGUAUUGUUCAGGUCUGGGGACAGACUCUGAGCAAAGUGAAUGAAAAUACUGACAAAGAAACAUCUAGAAAGCAUGAGCAACCAUGAAAAGAACUGUGGCAAUUUAGCAUAGGUAAAAAACAAAAAACAAAAAAACAACCAAGGAAGGACAUACUACAUUAAAAAUGUGGAAAAGCGCGCCUGGGUGGCUCAGUCUGUUAAGUGUCUGACUUUGGCUCAGGUUAUGAUCUCGCUGUGUGGGUUCGAGCCCCACAUCGGGCUCUGUGCUGACAGCUCAGAGCUUGGAGCCCGCUUGGGAUUCUGUGUCUCCCUCUCUCUCUCUCUCUCUGCCCCUCUCCUGCUCAUGCUCUCAUGCUCUGCCUCUCUCUCUCUCUCAAAAA